AGCUGCUUUCCAAAUUCUUUCAGCUUGACCAACUUGCUCCUCAACACUUUAAAUUCUGUUUACUGAUAUUCGCUGUGGUGAUAGUUAAUGCCGUUGCAACAUUCACUGUUGAGUGCAUCGUUGAUAAAGAAUACUUCAAAAACUUUAUCAAGCCUUGUCGAAGAAAAAAGAAGCCAAAAAAUCUUUACAAACUAAUCGAAAAAGAAAUUCAAGAAGACAAGGACUGGCCACCAAUUAAGCAAGUGUUCACAUCUAACGGAAUUCGCUGUUGAUUAUCCAAAGACGGGCAGAAUUUAGAUUUUUAUUUUUUUAAUAUUUAAUAUAUAAUAAUCAUGAAACUUAAGGUAUUCAUAAGUGUUAGGGAAUUGUUAUACAAUUGUAUGUUUGUGUUUAUCAUGACAAGUUGGAUAAAUUUAAAUAUCAUCAAUAUUUAUUUGCCAUUCUUAAAAAACAUAUUGUAGAAAAAAGAGGAGGCAAUAAACACAAACAAAUGUCUGCACUCGCUUUCCCCAAGGAAUUAGAGCAUAGCCAACACACUUAUAAGACAAAUACAGUUGAUAUUACAAAGAGUGAAUAUAAGUUUUACUGAUGGUGGUUCUUGUAACCAGGAUAUCAUAUAAUACAGUAGCAUGUAUAUGACUACAUGUUAAAUUCUGAAAGAAACACCUCCUGCAACCAACCCACCAAAACAAUCAAAUUGUUUAUAUUUAAAAACUAAGGAUUCCAAUGGAGAAAAGACAUUAAUAGUUGCUCUGAAAAUUGCCAUAAAGUAUUAAUAUGGAAAAGGAAUCUAUGAGAUGAAAUGCAUAGAAUCAAAGCAAAAAGGAUAGUCUUCCAAAAGUAUCAAUAAAUGUUGUUUGUUAGUA